rnacentral:rRNA from 1 species
AUACNUGCAGUCGAACGCUUCUUUUCCCACCGGAGCUUGCUCCACCGGGAAAAGAGGAGUGGCGAACGGGUGAGUAACACGUGGGUAACCUGCCCAUCAGAAGGGGAUAACACUUGGAAACAGGUGCUAAUACCGUAUAACAAUCGAAACCGCAUGGUUUCGUUUUGAAAGGCGCUUUACGGUGCCGCUGAUGGAUGGACCCGCGGUGCAUUAGCUAGUUGGUGAGGUAACGGCUCACCAAGGCCACGAUGCAUAGCCGACCUGAGAGGGUGAUCGGCCACAUUGGGACUGAGACACGGCCCAAACUCCUACGGGAGGCAGCAGUAGGGAAUCUUCGGCAAUGGACGAAAGUCUGACCGAGCAACGCCGCGUGAGUGAAGAAGGUUUUCGGAUCGUAAAACUCUGUUGUUAGAGAAGAACAAGGGUGAGAGUAACUGUUCACCCCUUGACGGUAUCUAACCAGAAAGCCACGGCUAACUACGUGCCAGCAGCCGCGGUAAUACGUAGGUGGCAAGCGUUGUCCGGAUUUAUUGGGCGUAAAGCGAGCGCAGGCGGUUUCUUAAGUCUGAUGUGAAAGCCCCCGGCUCAACCGGGGAGGGUCAUUGGAAACUGGGAGACUUGAGUGCAGAAGAGGAGAGUGGAAUUCCAUGUGUAGCGGUGAAAUGCGUAGAUAUAUGGAGGAACACCAGUGGCGAAGGCGGCUCUCUGGUCUGUAACUGACGCUGAGGCUCGAAAGCGUGGGGAGCAAACAGGAUUAGAUACCCUGGUAGUCCACGCCGUAAACGAUGAGUGCUAAGUGUUGGAGGGUUUCCGCCCUUCAGUGCUGCAGCUAACGCAUUAAGCACUCCGCCUGGGGAGUACGACCGCAAGGUUGAAACUCAAAGGAAUUGACGGGGGCCCGCACAAGCGGUGGANCAUGUGGUUUAAUUCGAAGCAACGCGAAGAACCUUACCAGGUCUUGACAUCCUUUGACCACUCUAGAGAUA